rnacentral:rRNA from 1 species
UACGGGGGGGGCAAGCGUUGUUCGGAAUUACUGGGCGUAAAGGGCUCGUAGGCGGCCAACUAAGUCAGACGUGAAAUCCCUCGGCUUAACCGGGGAACUGCGUCUGAUACUGGAUGGCUUGAGUUUGGGAGAGGGAUGCGGAAUUCCAGGUGUAGCGGUGAAAUGCGUAGAUAUCUGGAGGAACACCGGUGGCGAAGGCGGCAUCCUGGACCAACACUGACGCUGAGGCGCGAAAGCUAGGGUAGCAAACAGG